rnacentral:rRNA from 1 species
AUUGAACGCUGGCGGCAUGCCUUACACAUGCAAGUCGAACGGUAACGGGCCUUCGGGUGCCGACGAGUGGCGAACGGGUGAGUAAUACAUCGGAACGUGCCCGAUCGUGGGGGAUAACGAGGCGAAAGCUUUGCUAAUACCGCAUACGAUCUACGGAUGAAAGCAGGGGACCGCAAGGCCUUGCGCGGACGGAGCGGCCGAUGGCAGAUUAGGUAGUUGGUGGGAUAAAAGCUUACCAAGCCGACGAUCUGUAGCUGGUCUGAGAGGAUGAUCAGCCACACUGGGAGUGAGACACCGCCCGGCGUCCUACGGGACGCACCAGUGGGGAAGUUGGGACAAUGGGCGCAGGCCUUAUCCAGCUAUGGCACGUGCAGGAUGAAGGCCUUCGAGUUGUGAACUGCAUUUGUACGGAAGGAAAAGCCUUCUCUGAAUAAAGGGGGGGCAUGACGGUAGCGUAAGAAUAAGCACCGGCUAACUACGUG